rnacentral:lncRNA from 1 species
UUCCCUGCAGAUAAUGCUGGCAUCUCAGGUGUAAUAAAAUAAUAACAGCCUGAGAGCAAUGCUGGCAUCUUAGGCUCUAUGAUGACAAAUUUGGCCUAAGAGCUAAUAAAAUACUGGUCAUACACAUGUGCAGAGCUACCCCCAAAGGGUGACCACCUGACAUACGCCCCAAAGGCUGUCUGUAUAUCAAGCGCUGUCCCAAAGACAGUAUAAAU